rnacentral:rRNA from 1 species
AACGAACGCUGGCGGCAUGCCUAACACAUGCAAGUCGAACGAGACCUUCGGGUCUAGUGGCGCACGGGUGCGUAACGCGUGGGAACCUGCCCUUAGGUUCGGAAUAACUCCCCGAAAGGGGUGCUAAUACCGGAUAAUGUCUUCGGACCAAAGAUUUAUCGCCUUUGGAUGGGCCCGCGUUGGAUUAGCUAGUUGGUAGGGUAAAGGCCUACCAAGGCGACGAUCCAUAGCUGGUCUGAGAGGAUGAUCAGCCACACUGGGACUGAGACACGGCCCAGACUCCUACGGGAGGCAGCAGUGGGGAAUAUUGGACAAUGGGCGAAAGCCUGAUCCAGCAAUGCCGCGUGAGUGAUGAAGGCCUUAGGGUUGUAAAGCUCUUUUACCCGGGAUGAUAAUGGCAGUACCGGGAGAAUAAGCUCCGGCUAACUCCGUG